rnacentral:lncRNA from 1 species
CUUUUAUUUACUUACUUCAUCUUUUUUUUCCCUUUUUCAAUCAGACCAGUGAAAAACCCAAUUAAAAAAAAAAUAAUGAAGACAUUUCCACUCACUUCAGUACCAAGAGGAUGUUCCCCAUUCAUACAAGGAAUAAGAAAACCUGCUUCAAAAUAUUUUCUAGGAGAAAACUACAUCUUUCAUCUACCUCUACAUCAUACCAUGCAAUUGUAUAUUUGCAAUUUAACUUGAUUUUUUUUCCAUCUUUUAUCAUAUAUACCAUUCAACCUGCCAUGGAAGUUAGAACAUCUAUGAGCAUAUAGUCAAAUACAUAAGAGAGUAGGUCUGGCUCUUUUGUUAGUACCCAUUACUGAAGAUACACUCUUUCCUCAGUUGAGCAAAGCUCAUCCAUGAUAGAUAAACUCUUUCCAAUCAAUACACUUCUAAAAGAAGUUUAUUAUUAAAGGAAGGGUAAGGUAUGCACUACAUGUUGGAAUGGAAAAAAAAAAGGAAGAGGAUGUCAGCAAAACAUAGAACUGAAAGGACAUCCAUGAAGAAGGAGCAAGGAUUCUGUCAAACACAUCUUUUUUCCUAACUACUCAAAAGAUUAAAAAAUACUAAAUAAUAAUUAAAAAACCAUAAUACUCAACUAGAAAGCACUACUUCUGUAGUAAACAGAUAUGAUACAAACUGCACUCUAAAAGUAUACUCCCAAAUUAUUUCUGUGGGUCUUGAGCUUGUUCUUCAUUGUCUGCCAAAACAAGAAAUAGUGAUUUGACUCUAUCAGGGUUGAUGAAUUCCUUUUGCGAUAUUUAAUGAUAUUAAUAGAAGUCUAGGAAACUUGUGCUAUAAGAAAAUAAAUAAUUAUAAUAAGAGCUAUCUAGUUAUAAAAGCAUUAAAACUGUCAGUGCUAUAUACAUUCUCUUCUCAUUCCCUAAUUGCCUAUACAUAUUCUUUUGACCUUCUACAACUUUCUCUUGUCACCAUAUGAUGCCCUACCACUACGCAAAUCUCAGCAUCAUGCUUUCUUUUGUUAUUUGCCUAGAAGUAGCAGAGUGCUGGAAGCAUCCAGUUAGCAACAGACCUCACCUGUGGUGCUCAAAGAAAGUUCGGCUACUCCAGCAGCAUGGCUCUACUUGGAGAAUAAAAAUGCUUAAUUUCCUGGCUGUGAGACGCUCUGAAAAACAAGAACCCCUAUGGAUCAUUGCAGAUUACUUUUUUGCAGAUGAGUUCUAUAUGAACCUGAUUAAAAUUCUUUUGGAUGCUGAAGAGAGAUGAUGUAUCAAGCCCGAAGCGCCUUCCACCGCAUCUCUGACAACAUUCAGCUCAAGGCACUCUGACCCCUCAGUUGAUUAUCUGUGACUUGACAGUACUGUCUACAAAAAUGCCAGAAAAUUAGCACUUCUGAAUGCUUGUUUUGUAUUCUUCAAGUACAUUAUUAGAAUUUGUUUGUCGAAAGAAGUACGCUACACCAUUGUAUUCAUAAUAAAUGCUCUUUGAUUUGUAUGACUUUGCUUUUG